rnacentral:rRNA from 1 species
GGGUGCGUAACACGUGAGCGACCUGCCGUACCUGUGGGGGAUAGCCGGCCCAACGGCCGGGUAAUACCGCAUACGAUCGUUUUGUCGCACGGCGAGACGACGAAAGCUUGGCGCAAGUCAGGCGCAGGACGAGGGGCUCGCGGCCUAUCAGCUUGUUGGCGGGGUAACGGCCCACCAAGGCGACGACGGGUAGCUGGUCUGAGAGGAUGGCCAGCCACAUUGGGACUGAGAGACGGCCCAGACUCCUACGGGAGGCAGCAGUGGGGAAUCUUGCGCAAUGGCCGAAAGGCUGACGCAGCGACGCCGCGUGUGGGAGGACGCCCUUCGGGGUGUAAACCACUGUUGCCCGGGACGAAUUCCCGCUUGGCGGGAUUGACGGUACCGGGUGAGGAAGCACCGGCUAACUCCGUGCCAGCAGCCGCGGUAAUACGGAGGGUGCGAGCGUUGUCCGGAAUCACUGGGCGUAAAGGGCGCGUAGGCGGCUUGAUAAGGCUGUGGUGAAAGUCCGGGGCUCAACCCCGGAUCGGCCGUGGCGACUGUUAGGCUGGAGCACUGUAGAGGCGAGCGGAAUUCCGGGUGUAGCGGUGGAAUGCGUA